rnacentral:rRNA from 1 species
UACAGAGGUCUCGAGCGUUAGGCGGAAUCACUGGGCUUAAAGCGUGUGUAGGCGGAUCGUUAAGUACCUUGUGAAAUCCCACGGCUUAACCGUGGAACUGCUUGGUAUACUGGCGGUCUUGAGCCAGCUAGGGGCUACCGGAACAAAUGGUGGAGCGGUGAAAUACGUAGAUAUCAUUUGGAACGCCAAUGGUGAAAACAGGUAGCUGGGGCUGUGCUGACGCUGAGACACGAAAGCCAGGGGAGCAAACGGG